rfam:Schistosoma mattheei strain Denwood, Zambia genome assembly, scaffold: SMTD_contig0004403
ACCCAACUGACGAGUCCCAGAACUGGAGGAAACGCGCGUCCUCGAU